AUCUGAAACCAUAAAAUCUCCUCUGUUGACGAGUUGACGUCAGGCGCCGGCGGGCUCCAUCCAUGGCUGGAUUCCCGUUUUUAGCCGGUAGUCACCUGCUUCUGAUGAAAUCGUCCCGUCAACGCGACCAAUCUCGCUCUGCUCCGUUGUUGCAGCCGCCGGGAACUCCAGCGAUCCAGGGGGACCUUUCCUUCCGCGGGAUGGAAGAAGGCCGGCCACCACGGCGGACCGCCGCCCAGAUAAAAUUCUGGUCAAUCUUCAUCAGGGGUUUUACACUCACAGGUGGCAUCGCAUGGGCGGUUUGGCUCUUGGUGGCGCGGUUUGUGUACCAGAAUCAAGAAUUGCAGGACACCUUUACAAUGAUACUUCUUUUGAUCCUUUCUCUCGUGCCGGCAGGAUUCUUUUGGUGCUUAACACAUGAAGUUAUGCAGACACCUACUCCGUCCUAGAUCAUAUCAGUGAUUAACAGGAACUUUUCAGUGUAAAAUUUGCGUUAUGAGGGGUAAAGCAUACAUUCAUUUUGUAUUGAAUCAUAUCCUAGAAAAUCUUGUGGUGAAUCGUUUGCAUACAGAACCUACAUUGUUCCA